rnacentral:lncRNA from 1 species
CCAGAAUAUUGCUCUCCCUCUUUCCACAAAGACACCCCUUAAUAGCAUACACCGGAGGAGCCACAAAUGCCUGCUUCAGAAUAGACAAAUAGCAGCCUCCCUCUUCUCUGUGUUGCAGAGGCUGGUGCUCUCACUAAUAAACAGCUAAGCACUUCCCAGGUCCAACUGGUCCUGUCCUUGAGAAAGAAGAAAAGAAAUAUCCUUGAGAAAGUAAUCAGGGGUCACAGGUAGGAAUGACUAGCUGUAAAACAUACUAAUUCCUACUUGUUGGGAGCUAUUAAGACAACUCUAUUGUCUUGAUCUCAGAAUUGGGCCUGCCCCACCCCCAAGUAGAAAAGGGGGUCAAAAGUGGGCCACUGACGCACCAUUCUGAGAACAACCACAGAACGUUCCAGCCCUAAGUCAGUGCCAGAUGUCCUGACCACAAGAUGUACCCUGAUACCACCAAGUUCCUGCUUCCCCCUGUAGUUGCCAAAAGAAAAAUUUCUGCUGCCCCAUCCCUCCUGCUGAGAAGUAUUUCCUCUUUGUCUUGUGCAUUUAAGCCUUGAGUCUUGCUGAAUACAGAGACACCUUGAUGCUACUCAGACUGCUUCUGUGUCGUUCUUGCACUUGGUGUCCGUCUCUCUCUCCCCCCAUUUGGUUCUUAGGAGAAGGCCACCUCGAGACCCUUGAAUAACUGGACCUGCUGGACGGGUCAUCUACUAGCAUCAUAAAGUUACUCCUCAGGCUCAGCAGUUCUGAGAGCUCUCCUGGAAGUUCUACAGAAUCAUGGACACAAAAUUUGGGGACUCAUCUGGGAUUCCCAAGCGGAUCUCUGGAAUCUGCAGUCUUGGGAGUCUAAAACUGUUGGGAUUCAGGCCCCAGAUCUAUGGAUGAAGUACACUCACCAUGUUUUCUACCAAUGAGUUGCACCGCAGCUAGUACUGGUGAGUAGA